GACGAACGCUGGCGGCGUGCUUAACACAUGCAAGUCGAACGGACGAGUGAGAUAAGUUUACUUAACUCACAAGUUAGUGGCGGACGGGUGAGUAACACGUGGAUAAUCUACCUGCAACACCGGGAUAACGCUGUGAAAACGGUGCUAAUACCGGAUACGUUCCCUUGUGCGCAUGUAUGAGGGAAGAAAGCUCAGGCGGUUGCAGAUGAGUCCGCGGCUGAUUAGCUAGUUGGUGAGGUAAAGGCUCACCAAGGCGAUGAUCAGUAGCCGGCCUGAGAGGGUGAACGGCCACACUGGGACUGAGACACGGCCCAGACUCCUACGGGAGGCAGCAGUGGGGAAUCUUCCGCAAUGGGCGCAAGCCUGACGGAGCAACGCCGCAUGGGUGAAGAAGGCCUUCGGGCUGUAAAGCCUGUCUUAUGGGAAGAAGUCAGUGACGGUACCAUAGGAGGAAGCCACGGCUAACUACGUGCCAGCAGCCGCGGUAAAAGUA
rnacentral:rRNA from 1 species